rnacentral:rRNA from 1 species
AGAGUUUGAUCCUGGCUCAGGAUGAACGCUAGCGGCAGGCCUAACACAUGCAAGUCGAGGGAGAAGCCCUUCGGGGCAGAAACCGGCGCACGGGUGCGUAACGCGUAUGCAACCUACCUUUCACAGGGGGAUAGCCCGAAGAAAUUUGGAUUAAUACCCCAUAAUAUUAUUGGAUGGCAUCAUUUUACAAUUAAAACUACGGUGGUGAAAGAUGGGCAUGCGUCCUAUUAGCUAGUUGGAGUGGUAACGGCACCCCAAGGCUACGAUAGGUAGGGGUCCUGAGAGGGAGAUCCCCCACACUGGUACUGAGACAGGGACCAGACUCCUACGGGAGGCAGCAGUGAGGAAUAUUGGUCAAUGGUCGGAAGACUGAACCAGCCAUGCCGCGUGCAGGAAGAAUGCCUUAUGGGUUGUAAACUGCUUUUAUAUGGGAAGAAUAAGGCGUACGUGUACGUUGAUGACGGUACCAUAUGAAUAAGCAUCGGCUAACUCCGUGCCAGCAGCCGCGGUAAUACGGAGGAUGCGAGCGUUAUUCGGAAUCAUUGGGUUUAAAGGGUCUGUAGGCGGGCUAUUAAGUCAGGGGUGAAAGGUUUCAGCUUAACUGAGAAAUUGCCUUUGAUACUGGUAGUCUUGAAUAUCUGUGAAGUUCUUGGAAUGUGUAGUGUAGCGGUGAAAUGCUUAGAUAUUACACAGAACACCGAUUGCGAAGGCAGGGGACUAACAGACAAUUGACGCUGAGAGACGAAAGCGUGGGGAGCGAACAGGAUUAGAUACCCUGGUAGUCCACGCUGUAAACGAUGGAUACUAGCUGUUUGGCGCAAGCUGAGUGGCUAAGCGAAAGUGAUAAGUAUCCCACCUGGGGAGUACGCACGCAAGUGUGAAACUCAAAGGAAUUGACGGGGGCCCGCACAAGCGGUGGA